rnacentral:rRNA from 1 species
GACGAACGCUGGCGGCGUGCUUAACACAUGCAAGUCGAACGGAAAGGCCCUGCUUUUGUGGGGUGCUCGAGUGGCGAACGGGUGAGUAACACGUGAGUAACCUGCCCUUGACUUUGGGAUAACUUCAGGAAACUGGGGCUAAUACCGGAUAGGAGCUCCUGCUGCAUGGUGGGGGUUGGAAAGUUUCGGCGGUUGGGGAUGGACUCGCGGCUUAUCAGCUUGUUGGCGGGGUAGUGGCUUACCAAGGCUUUGACGGGUAGCCGGCCUGAGAGGGUGACCGGCCACAUUGGGCCUGAGAUACGGCCCAGACUCCUACGGGAGGCAGCAGUGGGGAAUAUUGCACAAUGGGCGGAAGCCUGAUGCAGCAACGCCGCGUGCGGGAUGACGGCCUUCGGGUUGUAAACCGCUUUCGCCUGUGACGAAGCGUGAGUGACGGUAAUGGGUAAAGAAGCACCGGCUAACUACGUG